UACGUAGGCAGCAAGCGUUGUUCGGAGUUACUGGGCGUAAAGGGUGCGUAGGCGGCCUUAUAAGUAUGGUGUGAAAUCUCCCGGCUUAACUGGGAGGGUGCGCUAUAGACUGUGGGGCUAGAGUGUGGGAGAGGAAAGUGGAAUUCCUGGUGUAGCGGUGAAAUGCGUAGAUAUCAGGAGGAACACCUGCGGUGUAGACGGCUUUCUGGACCAUUGCUGACGCUGAGACACGAAAGCGUGGGUAGCAAACAGG
rnacentral:rRNA from 1 species